AUAUUUUGAUAAGGGCUUUUAUUUUGACAUUCUAAUUUCUAAGACUUUGGUAUGAUGUAACUUCCUGUUUCUGGAGUAGCCAUUUUUCAGUUGUUCAAGGUGAAGGACACAUGUCAGCUCAGCUCCUCUGAAACUUUAUCUUUCCUUUUGGUGUGGCAUUGCUAUUACAUGUUGAUCCUGGGAUUGAGAUGCUGGCCUCUUCUGCCCCUCGGACCUGCUUGAUCCAUCCUGGUGCCCUGUGUCUGGUCGGAGUUUUAUCGCCCCACUCCUGUGAAGGACGGCCCCAUGAGGACAGUUGAGGGUUAUACCUGUUAAAACUGUUAAUAUUAUAGUCAGGCUGUCUGUUGUUGCCCAAAUGAGGAUGGGUUCCCUUUUGAGUCUGGUUCCUCUCGAGGUUGGGUUCCCUUUUGAGUCUGGUUCCUCUCGAGGUUUCUUCCUCAUGUCGUCUGAGGGAGUUUUUCCUUGCCACCGUCGCCACAGGCUUGCUCAUUGGGGAUAGAUUAGGGAUAAAAUUAGCUCAUGUUUUAAGUCAUUCAAAUUCUGUAAAGCUGCUUUGCGACAAUGUUUAUUGUUAAAAGCGCUGUACAAAUAAACUUGAUUUGAUUUGAUUAUCUGAUGAGAAGUUCCUCAAGUGGCAGAGAUGGCAGGAGUCUCUGCAGGAGCUGGACUCACAAUGCUUUGAGAGGUUUUCAUCCUGGGAGCGUCUGACAAGAGCUGUAGCACGUCUGAGGCACAUAGCCCAGAGUUUCCACGAAUUCUCACCUGACACAGGAUGUGUCGGAUGGCAUCUCUGCAAGAAAGGAGUAACAGCUUCAGAGCUUACUGCCACAGAGCGCGUCAUCAUCAAAACUGUACAGCAUGAGGUGUACGCAGAUGAGAUAAGAUGUAUUCAGCAGGGACAAGACUUACCUGCACACAGUCCUCUGAAGAAACUUCACCCUGUGUUAGAUGCAGAGGGUCUGCUACGUGUCGGAGGCCGAAUCACUCACUCGAACUUGCCGACUGAUGAGUCUCACCCACUCCUUAUUCCUGGCAAGCACCAUGUUGCCACAUUGCUCAUUCGUCACCACCACUUCAGAGUGCAACACCAAGGAAGGCACUUCACUGAAGGAGCAGUGCGUGCAAGUGGUCUAUGGAUAGUGGGAGUCAAGCGAGCCAUCAGCAGCGUGGUGUUCAAGUGUGUAAUAUGCAGGCGGUUGCGUGGCAAACUGGAACAGCAGCAGAUGGCGGACCUUCCUCAAGAGCGCCUAAAGCAGGAACCUCCAUCUACAUAGGGUUGGACGUCUUCGGACUCUGGGAGGUCGUAACCCGACGGACCCGAGGUGGUAGUGCCAACAGUAAGAGAUGGGCAGUACUGUUCACGUGCAUGUCCACAUAGAAGUGAUUGAGACAAUGAGUGCCUCAAGCUGCAUCAAUGCCCUCCGCAGGUUCUUCGCAAUUAGGGGACCAGCGAAACAGCUACGUUCAGAUCGUGGAAUGAACUUUGCAGGUGCCAACUCAAACUUGAAGGCUGCAACAGAAGCUGAGGAAGAAAGUGUGAAUACUUACCUGUGCUCUCAGAGGUGCAUCUGGGUCUUCAACCAGCCGCAUGCCUCCAAUAUGGGUGGGAGCUGGGAGCGCAUGAUAGGUACAGCACGUCGCAUCCUUGAUUCUAUGUUGCUCCAAACUGGAAGGUCAAAGGUCACUCACGAAGUCCUGUGCACGUUCAUGGCAGAAGUCACUGCUGUAAUCAACUCCAGGCCAUUAAUACCAGUCUCCUCAGAUCCUGAAGCGCUGCUGAUAUUUACUCUAGCGAUGCUGCUCACGCAGAAGAGUGGUACCCCACCAGCUCCUCCUGCAGCCGGCUCAGAGGCCAGUGUGUUGAAGCAGAAAUGGAAGAGAGUACAGGCCUUAGCAGAGACAUUCUGGGCAAGAUGGAGAUGGGAGUACUUGAGCGUACUUCAAGCUAGGCAGAAGUGGCACGCUAAGAAACCAAACCUCAAGGAAGGAGACAUAGUGCUAUUGAAAGACAAGCAAGCCAGAAGAAAUGAGUGGUCCAUUGGAAGAGUUGAGAAGACCUUCCUAAGUGAUGAUGGACUUGUCAGAAAAGUGGACGUCAAGGUCGCAUCUCAUCAUCCGCCGAAGACUUACCUGAGACCUGUCUCUGACAUGGUUCUACUCCUGGAGGCAGAGACUGUUUAGGUUAAGGGGGUGUGGCAUCUAGGGAUGCCAGGUGGGGAGUGUGAUGCCACGGGGAACAUAUUUUGAUAAGGGCUUUUAUUUUGACAUUCUAAUUUCUAAGACUUUGGUAUGAUGUAACUUCCUGUUUCUGGAGUAGCCAUUUUUCAGUUGUUCAAGGUGAAGGACACAUGUCAGCUCAGCUCCUCUGAAACUUUAUCUUUCCUUUUGGUGUGGCAUUGCUACCCCAUGGAAACAGGGACCAAUUCCCCCGAAACCUGCUCUCUGCACCUAUUAACUCCUCCAUGCCCAUCAGAACCACAAGCAAGCCCAGGCAGGACUGUAGGCACAGAGUGAAGGCACAGGAUCAGGACUUCCAUGAGGAGACUGAUGCAUCAGACAGAGGACUGUGGGGCUGUUUUGUCCUAGGUGGUGGAGGGGGAGGAGUAUCCGAUGCUGUACAUCAGCCGCAAGCUCUUCAUGUGAGAGUCAAAAUACAGCCCGAGAGAAAAGGAGUGUCUGGCCAUCAAGUGGGUGGUCCUCACUCUCUGCUAGUAUGUGCUUGGAUGCCCAUUAACCCUCUGUUUCGACCAUGCCCCGCUCCAGUGGCUGCACCACAUGAAGGAUGCCAAUGUGCUGAUCACUUGUAGGUAUCUGGCCCUUCAGCCCUUUAAAUUCAAGGUGGUCCACAGGCCAGGGGGCACAGAUGGUGGUGUUAGAUUAUUUCUCCCACCAGGAGGAGGAGUCAGCUGCAGGCCAGAUGGCUUCCCGGCCUGAAUCAGGCAAUGGUGGUAUGUGGCAGUGGGGGCAUGGUCGAGCAUCGGCUGUGAAUGACAGCCAGGAAUGAGAGAGAGAGGAGCAUCACACCAUCGCAUGUGUAGUGUGUUCAGUCACUGAAAAGUGUAAAAAUAAAGAACACCUGUUCUGAA